UACCCGCUGAACUUAAGCAUAUCAAUAAGCGGAGGAAAAGAAACCAACAGGGAUUGCCCUAGUAACGGCGAGUGAAGCGGCAACAGCUCAAAUUUGAAAUCUGGCCCUCGGGUCCGAGUUGUAAUUUGUAGAGGAUGUUUUUGGCGCGGUGCCUUCCGAGUUCCCUGGAACGGGACGCCUUAGAGGGUGAGAGCCCCGUACGGUUGGACACCAAGCCUCUGUAAAACUCCUUCGACGAGUCGAGUAGUUUGGGAAUGCUGCUCUAAAUGGGAGGUAAAUUUCUUCUAAAGCUAAAUAUUGGCCAGAGACCGAUAGCGCACAAGUAGAGUGAUCGAAAGAUGAAAAGCACUUUGAAAAGAGGGUUAAAUAGCACGUGAAAUUGUUGAAAGGGAAGCGUUUGCGACCAGACCUUUUCCUUGGGGAUCAUCCGGUGUUCUCACCGGUGCACUUCCCUUGGUUUAGGCCAGCAUCGGUUUUUGUAGGGGGAUAAAAACUGGAGGAACGUAGCUCCCUCGGGAGUGUUAUAGCCUCUUGUAUAAUACCCUUGCGGGGACCGAGGACCGCGCUUCGGCAAGG
rnacentral:rRNA from 1 species